GAUGAAGAACGUAGCGAAAUGCGAUAAGUAAUGUGAAUUGCAGAAUUCAGUGAAUCAUCGAAUCUUUGAACGCACAUUGAGCCCGCCAGUAUUCUGGCGGGCAUGCCUGUUCGAGCGUCAUUUCAACCCUCAGGCCCCCAGUGCCUGGUGUUGGGGAUCGGCCCAGCCUUCCUGUAAGGCCGCCGGCCCCGAAAUCUAGUGGCGGUCUCGCUGUAGUCCUCCUCUGCGUAGUAGCACAACCUCGCAGUUGGAACGCGGCGGUGGCCAUGCCGUUAAACACCCCACUUCUGAAAGUUGACCUCGGAUCAGGUAGGAAUACCCGCUGAACUUAAGCAUAUCAAUAAGCGGAGGA
rnacentral:misc_RNA from 1 species